GAUGAACGCUGGCGGUGUGCCUAAUACAUGCAAGUCGAACGAGGUGCUUUUGUAGCAAUACGAGAGUAUCCUAGUGGCGAACGGGUGAGUAACGCGUUGGUGACCUGCCCCGAAGUGUGGGAUAACAGUCCGAAAGGACUGCUAAUACCGCAUGUGGUCAUCGGAUUUAGAAACCGAUGUCUAAAGCAGCAAUGCGCUUUGGGAGGGACCUGCGUCCCAUCAGCUAGUUGGUAGGGUAACGGCCUACCAAGGCGAUGAUGGGUAGCCGGCCUGAGAGGGUGAACGGCCACACUGGAACUGAGACACGGUCCAGACUCCUACGGGAGGCAG
rnacentral:rRNA from 1 species